rnacentral:lncRNA from 1 species
UUUAUACCCGCCUUUACUUGGCCACCUUUCUUUCCUUUUCUCCAAACUAUUAAACGCCUUGACACAUAUUCUUUUGUUUUCCACACAAACUUCUUUGUUCCAACACACAAGGGGAGGUCAAGAAUGUGUCUCGCGCCUUCUUAUUUGCUUCCCGAAGGGACCUUGGCGACGCGAUGGCAUAGGCACGUUUUACGGGCCCCUGCCAUCGUGGAAACUAGGAGGCAGGGCUUACCAGGACCCGUGGUUCCAGCGACAGACAGCAAGCUGCAGCAGUGUAUAUGUUCUCCUACGACGCAUCCAGGGUCAUUUCGCUGCAGGUACCAUCAUGCUGAGUAUGUAUGGGGAUGUCGCAACUCGCAAGCUGUGAAGUUAUCCUGAAAUUAAAUUGAAUAAAAAGGUCAGAUGUUAAUAAUUUUAAUAAAGCCUGCUCUCUGUUUCUGUGUUUCGGUGAGUGUCGAUGUAUAUUUCCCGGAACCGCGGAUUAAUCAGAGAUAUAUGAAAAGCAGAUUCUGAAUGAAUGAAAAGUAUGUGUUUAUUCAUUUAUUUUUCAGGUGCUUUCUGAAGUGUGUGGAAAAUAAAAAUCAAUAUCCGACAAUUGCAGGUAGAGCGGUAUCAUAGCCAUGAUAAUCUUUACCUGCAAUGAUGCACAAGUGCCAAUUUAUAUAUUUAUGAUGUAAAAAACUGAUGUCUCAUAAACGUGAAAUUAUUAGAUACUUCAAACAUGCUCUGGAAAUGAAUUCUAUGCCAGAAGCAAGCCAAAUUUAAAAACUUCAGAUAUAUUUAGUAUCCAUGAGACUGGCCUAAUAUGUAUACUUUUGUAAGGACUGCAGAUAAAACUGCAUGACUAGAGUGAGAGUAAUUGUAAUAGUCGAAGUGAAAUGCCAGAUAGUAAUUGGUAAAGGAAAUCAAGAAAGCAUAUUCCACGGUGGCUGAAACCCGGAAUUAAUUUCAGGUGCUAUCCAAUUAUUAGUAGACAAUUUGCUGGAGAUGUAAAGUAGUUCCGCAUAGAUGCUACCGAGUGUGAAUUCAAAUACAAAGAAUCCAGCUUUGCAGUGUUUUUCAAGGCUGUUGGAGGACCUGUUAUGUGUACAGAUGUCAGUAACUACUAGUAGAUUUCAUUGAAAUGAACAAUCAAUUAUCAGCUACAGAGCGAGGAAGGAUUGAAACCACCGCUGAACAAAACUUCCUUGGCAACCGAGAACUAGUUAACAACUAAGUUUAAGCUGAACCCAAUAAUUGUGUAUUUUCUCCGUUCAGAUUACCAUCAGAAAAAGCUACUCAAAUCAUAACGUGAUGAUCGUAUAUUACUUCAAGAGGUGCUACUCUGAUCGAAAGCUAAAAUUAUAAGCAAAACCCUCAUCUUUGCAACUUUACCAACAUUUAACAGACUGAGUAUGCCUUUCAAUCACAAUAAUAAAACUGAGAGUUGCAGCCAACCGACAGCUAAAGAGCUGAUGCCACACAAGGACUGUGCAAUACCUAAUUAACUCCCCAUUUUGGCUGAGAGCACGCAAAGAGUUGUUCUUGGACUCCUACAAAAAAUUAUUUAUUACUCCCUCCGUUUCAAAUUAGAUGUCCA